AGAACUAGAUGCAGGAGGAAACAAACUCAAUGGGACUUGAAAUAUAAAGGAGGCAUUGGAAGGAGUUUACUGAAUUCUGUCCGCGUAUGUCAUAGAACAAAUGUUUCUGCUUAAAGUGCAGAAGGGUCAGCAAUUCUUAUUAUUCAGACUUAAAAGUGAAUUUUAAUGUUUCUGAAAGGAACUAGAUUGACAGCCAGUGGAAGCGAAGUCCUUCUUCCGUCUGCAAAAGAAGAUUUGAAGAGCAUUUGAUCACCUGUGAAUGUGCUUGCAUGCUGGAAUGGAGUUACUGCUCAGUUUUCCUUUGGAGGAGAUUGCUCUAUUUCAGUCUCUCACUG